rnacentral:rRNA from 1 species
GACGAACGCUGACGGCGUGCUUAACACAUGCAAGUCGAACGGAAAGGCCCUGCUUUUGUGGGGUGCUCGAGUGGCGAACGGGUGAGUAACACGUGAGUAACCUGCCCUUGACUUUGGGAUAACUUCAGGAAGCUGGGGCUAAUACCGGAUAGGAGCUCCUGCUGCAUGGUGGGGGUUGGAAAGUUUCGGCGGUUGGGGAUGGACUCGCGGCUUAUCAGCUUGUUGGUGGGGUAGUGGCUUACCAAGGCUUUGACGGGUAGCCGGCCUGAGAGGGUGACCGGCCACAUUGGGACUGAGAUACGGCCCAGACUCCUACGGGAGGCAGCAGUGGGGAAUAUUGCACAAUGGGCGGAAGCCUGAUGCAGCAACGCCGCGUGCGGGAUGACGGCCUUCGGGUUGUAAACCGCUUUCGCCUGUGACGAAGCGUGAGUGACGGUAAUGGGUAAAGAAGCACCGGCUAACUACGUG